UACGUAGGGUGCAAGCGUUGUCCGGAAUUAUUGGGCGUAAAGAGCUCGUAGGCGGUUUGUCGCGUCUUCUGUGAAAUCUGGGGGCUCAACCCCCAGCCUGCAGUGGGUACGGGCAGACUAGAGUGCGGUAGGGGAGAUUGGAAUUCCUGGUGUAGCGGUGAAAUGCGCAGAUAUCAGGAGGAACACCGGUGGCGAAGGCGGGUCUCUGGGCCGAUACUGACGCUGAGGAGCGAAAGCGUGGGGAGCGAACAGG
rnacentral:rRNA from 1 species